rnacentral:rRNA from 1 species
CCUACGGGAGGCAGCAGUGAGGAAUAUUGGUCAAUGGGCGUAAGCCUGAACCAGCCAAGUCGCGUGAGGGAUGAAGGUUCUAUGGAUCGUAAACCUCUUUUAUAAGGGAAUAAAGUGUGGGACGUGUCCUGUUUUGUAUGUACCUUAUGAAUAAGGAUCGGCUAACUCCGUGCCAGCACGCGCGGUAAUACGGAGGAUCCGAGCGUUAUCCGGAUUUAUUGGGUUUAAAGGGUGCGUAGGCGGCCUUUUAAGUCAGCGGUGAAAGUCUGUGGCUCAACCAUAGAAUUGCCGUUGAAACUGGGAGGCUUGAGUAUGUUUGAGGCAGGCGGAAUGCGUGGUGUAGCGGUGAAAUGCUUAGAUAUCACGCAGAACCCCGAUUGCGAAGGCAGCCUGCCAAGCCAUGACUGACGCUGAUGCACGAAAGCGUGGGGAUCAAACAGGAUUAGAUACCCCAGUAGUC